AAUCAACGCUGGCGGCGUGCCUCAGACAUGCAAGUCGAACGCGAAAGUCCCCUUCGGGGGACAAGUAGAGUGGCGCACGGGUGAGUAACACGUAGGUAAUCUACCUUUGGAUGGGGAAUAACAACCGGAAACGGUUGCUAAUACCGCAUAAUGCAGCGGCACCUAAUGGUGACAGUUGUUAAAGCGGGGGGAUCGAAAGACCUCGCGUCUAAAGAGGAGCCUGCGGCGGAUUAGCUAGUUGGUAAGGAAUGGCUUACCAAGGCUACGAUCCGUAACCGGCCUGAGAGGGCGGUCGGUCACAC
rnacentral:rRNA from 1 species